AAUAAAGCAUUUGAGUAGGCAGCAAAGCCAGUCAGAACUGUUUAUUUAUAGCUGUGGAUUUUCAAUGCUGUAUAAAUUAGAAAUCGUUGCUGAAUGAGGCCCGCGCCCACUCAUACACGCAGGGCCGCUAUCUGUGAGUCCUUUCACAGGGUUUGACUGUACACAGUCUAAAAUGGGAGAAAAUGACAUGCUCCGAGUCAAAUGACGGAGUCACAGCUAAACGGCAAAGCAGAAAACCAGCAAUUAUUUUUCCUCAGCACAAUAUGGGGAGUACGACAGGUACAAUUAUCCAAUAUUAUUUAACAGUACCGGUUUGCGGUGUAGGGAGAAAAAGGUUUCCGUGUCUUGGAGAGGAAAAAAAGAGAAAGAACAUGCCUUGCAGCUCCUGUUUCUAUGGAUUAAGCUGGGUUAUGUACAUGGAAAUUGGCCAGGAUUCCAGAAGGGGAAGGGAGAACCGCCUGGCUCCCUGGCCCUUCCUCCCAGGAGGCUCUUGAGGAGCGGCACCACAGGGGGCUUCUGAGCAAAGGUGCCCCCAGCCUUGGGAUACUGUGGCCUGAACACCCUCUUCCCCAGGCAAUGGCUCCAGACUCAUCCUGCCAUCAUGACCUUUUAUUGCCGUCACAUAUCACCAAACUAAGAGGAAGAGGCCAAAAGAACUGCUGGACACCAAUUCAGAGUUUUCCUACUCAGCAAUGUGGAUUUCCAUGUAAUCCUCAAAUCAAGGGGAAGGAAAGAACCAUUCCAAAAUGCCCUGCCAAUUCACAGAGGAACAUAUCGAAGUCCACUUGGGAACCAUUUUAGACCCCAAGCAUGGAAGACAGGGAUUGUUUGCAUGACUAUAUACACAAUGACAAAGGGAAACUUACCCAUUCAUUCUAGGGCUUAACGAAAAUGCCGCGGCUGCAUGAAUCGUGGUUCUGUGGUCGCUUAUUGGGGAUGGGAUUGAAAGUAUAACUUUAAGGGGGAUCCCCAAGAUGACAGCCAAGAAGAUGCUAAGCUCUUUGUGCAUGAGGUGCUUGUGAGAUAGAGACCAAAGGAUAACCAGCUGCUCUUCCCUGGUUGGUGAGUGGAGGUGCCCGAGAGGGCACUCUUUGGUGUUGACUUAUUGCGUCUCACCUUGUCCCUUCCUAAACUCAACUCUUGCCAUUUCACUGUAUCCCUCACACAGUCACACUUGAAAGGCCCUCCAAGCACCAGUGGCCUUUGUCCCUAGCACAGAAAUCAUCACCCUAGACUGCUUACCUAGCAUCUAAAUAAUCCCAAUUCACAUUUAGCUAAAAUUUCACUAUUACUAAAUUUAGUUAUAUUUACAAUAUAAAUUUAUUUUAGUUACAAU